rnacentral:rRNA from 1 species
GACGUAGGGGGCCAGCGUUGUUCGGAAUUACUGGGCGUAAAGGGCGUGUAGGCGGCCAACUAAGUCCGACGUGAAAUCCCCAGGCUUAACCUGGGAACUGCGUCGGAUACUGGAUGGCUUGAAUCCGGGAGAGGGAUGCGGAAUUCCAGGUGUAGCGGUGAAAUGCGUAGAUAUCUGGAGGAACACCGGUGGCGAAGGCGGCAUCCUGGACCGGCAUUGACGCUAAAGCGCGCAAGCCAGGGGAGCAAACGGG